CCGGUGGCUCAGUUGGUUAGAGCGCUGCCCUGUCACGGCAGAGGUCAGGGGUUCAAGUCCCCUUCG
rnacentral:tRNA from 1 species